GCCUGGGUGGCUCAGUUGGUUGAGCAUCUGACUUCAGCUCAGGUCAUGAUCUCACAGUUUGUGAGUUUGAGUACCACAUCGGGCU
rnacentral:tRNA from 1 species